AUUGAACGCUGGCGGCAGGCCUAACACAUGCAAGUAGAACGAGUGGCGGACGGGUGAGUAAUGACUGGGAAACUGCCUGAUGGAGGGGGACAACUACUGGGAACGGUAGCUAAUACCGCCUACCAUCAGCUGUGCCCAGAUGGGAUUAGGUUGUUGGUGGGGUAACCGCUCACCACGGCGACGAUCCUUAGCUGGUCUGAGGGGUUGACCAGCCACCCUGGAACUGAGACACGGGCCAGACUCCUACGGUAGGCAGCAGUGUGGAAUAUUGCACAAUGGGCGCAAGCCUGAUGCAUCCAUGCCGCUUGUAUGAAGAAGGCCUUCGGGUUGUAAAGUACUUUCAGCGGGGAGGCGUUACCCGCAGAAGAAGCACCGGCUAACUCCGUGCCAGCAGCCGCGGUAAUUC
rnacentral:rRNA from 1 species